CAGUAGCCGCGGUAAUACGAGGGGGGCAAGCGUUGUUCGGAAUUAUUGGGCGUAAAGGGUGCGUAGGCGGUUUGGCAAGUUUGGUGUGAAAUCUUCGGGCUCAACUCGAAGUCUGCAUCGAAAACUGCCGGGCUUGAGUAUGGGAGAGGUGAGUGGAAUUUCCGGUGUAGCGGUGAAAUGCGUAGAUAUCGGAAGGAACACCUGUGGCGAAAGCGGCUCACUGGACCAUAACUGACGCUGAUGCACGAAAGCUAGGGGAGCAAACAGGAUUAGAUACCCCCGUAGUCCCUGUCUCUUAUAA
rnacentral:rRNA from 1 species